GAUGAACGCUGGCGGCGUGCUUAACACAUGCAAGUCGAACGAUGAAGCCCAGCUUGCUGGGCGGAUUAGUGGCGAACGGGUGAGUAACACGUGAGUAACCUGCCCUUGACUCUGGGAUAAGCCCGGGAAACUGGGUCUAAUACCGGAUAGGAGCGCCUGUCGCAUGACGGGUGCUGGAAAGAUCUUUCGGUCAUGGAUGGACUCGCGGCCUAUCAGCUUGUUGGUGAGGUAACGGCUCACCAAGGCGACGACGGGUAGCCGGCCUGAGAGGGUGACCGGCCACACUGGGACUGAGGCACGGCCCAGACCCCUACGGGAGGCAGCAGUGGGGAAUAUUGCACAAUGGGCGAAAGCCUGAUGCAGCGACGCCGCGUGAGGGAUGACGGCCUUCGGGUUGUAAACCUCUUUCAGCAGGGAAGAAGCGAAAGUGACGGUACCUGCAGAAGAAGCACCGGCUAACUACGUG
rnacentral:rRNA from 1 species